rnacentral:rRNA from 1 species
UCUGCUGCAUCAACGCAGGGGUGGAGGAUGACACAUUUCGGUGCGUAAACUCCUUUUAUAUAGGAAGAUAAUGACGGUACUAUAUGAAUAAGCACCGGCUAACUCCGUGCCAGCAGCCGCGGUAAUAC